GGAGUGGCGCACGGGUGAGUAACACGUGGGAACCUACCUUCUGGUACGGAACAACCAAGGGAAACUUUGGCUAAUACCGUAUACGACCUCCGGGUGAAAGAUUUAUCGCCGGAAGAGGGGCCCGCGUCCGAUUAGGUAGUUGGUGAGGUAACGGCUCACCAAGCCGACGAUCGGUAGCUGGUCUGAGAGGAUGACCAGCCACACUGGGACUGAGACACGGCCCAGACUCCUACGGGAGGCAGCAGUGGGGAAUAUUGGACAAUGGGCGCAAGCCUGAUCCAGCCAUGCCGCGUGAGUGAUGAAGGCCUUCGGGUUGUAAAGCUCUUUCACCCACGACGAUGAUGACGGUAGUGGGAGAAGAAGCCCCGGCUAACUUCGUGCCAGCAGCCGCGGAAUACGAAGGGGGCAAGCGUUGUUCGGAAUGACUGGGCGUAAAGGGCGCGUAGGCGGUUCGUUGCNUCAGAUGUGAAAGCCCCGGGCUCAACCUGGGAACUGCAUUUGAUACGGGCGAGCUUGAAUCCAAGAGAGGGUGGUGGAAUUCCCAGUGUAGAGGUGAAAUUCGUAGAUAUUGGGAAGAACACCAGUGGCGAAGGCGGCCACCUGGCUUGGUAUUGACGCUGAGGCGCGAAAGC
rnacentral:rRNA from 1 species